rnacentral:rRNA from 1 species
UACGAAGGGGGCUAGCGUUGCUCGGAAUCACUGGGCUUAAAGGGCGCGUAGGCGGCAGAUCAAGUCCGGGGUGAAAUCCUCCAGCUCAACUGGAGAAGUGCCUUGGAUACUGAUGUGCUCGAGGGAGGUAGGGGUCCGCGGAACUUCUGGUGGAGCGGUGAAAUGCGUUGAUAUCAGAAGGAACGCCGGUGGCGAAAGCGGCGGACUGGAUCUCUUCUGACGCUGAGGCGCGAAAGCUAGGGGAGCAAACGGG